rnacentral:rRNA from 1 species
UAAUACGUAGGGGGCAAGCGUUGUUCGGAAUUACUGGGCGUAAAGGGCGCGUAGGCGGCUGUGUAAGUCGGGAGUGAAAGCCCGGGGCUCAACCCCGGAAUGUCUCUCGAAACUGCGCGGCUCGAGUGCGGAAGAGGCAACUGGAAUUCCCAGUGUAGCGGUGAAAUGCGUAGAUAUUGGGAAGAACACCUGAGGCGAAGGCGGGUUGCUGGGCCGACACUGACGCUGAGGCGCGAAAGCCAGGGGAGCAAACGGGAUUAGAUACCCCGGUAGUCCUGGCCCUAAACGAUGGAUACUUGGUGUGUGGGGUUCUCUAAGUCCCCGCGUGCCGGAGCUCACGCGGUAAGUAUCCCGCCUGGGGAGUACGGUCGCAAGGCUG